UACGAAGGGGGCUAGCGUUGCUCGGAAUUACUGGGCGUAAAGGGCGCGUAGGCGGACAUUUUUAGUCAGAGGUGAAAGCCCAGGGCUCAACCUUGGAAUUGCCUUUGAUACUGGAUGUCUUGAGUUCGGGAGAGGUGAGUGGAAUGCCGAGUGUAGAGGUGAAAUUCGUAGAUAGUUCGGCGGAACACCAGUGGCGAAGGCGGCUUCCUGGACCGACACUGGACGCUGAGGCGCGAAAGCUAGGGGAGCAAACGGG
rnacentral:rRNA from 1 species